rnacentral:rRNA from 1 species
UCUCAGUUCGGAUUGGAGUCUGCAACCCGACUCCAUGAAGCUGGAUUCGCUAGUAAUCGCGCAUCAGCCACGGCGCGGUGAAUACGUUCCCGGGCCUUGUACACACCGCCCGUCAAGCCAUGGAAGCCGGGAGUGCCUGAAGUACGCGACCGCAAGGAGCGUCCUAAGGUAAAACCGGUGACUGGGGCUAAGUCGUAACAAGGUACC